rnacentral:rRNA from 1 species
GGGAGCUUGCUCCCUGAUGUUAGCGGCGGACGGGUGAGUAACACGUGGGUAACCUGCCUGUAAGACUGGGAUAACUCCGGGAAACCGGGGCUAAUACCGGAUGGUUGUUUGAACCGCAUGGUUCAGACAUAAAAGGUGGCUUCGGCUACCACUUACAGAUGGACCCGCGGCGCAUUAGCUAGUUGGUGAGGUAACGGCUCACCAAGGCAACGAUGCGUAGCCGACCUGAGAGGGUGAUCGGCCACACUGGGACUGAGACACGGCCCAGACUCCUACGGGAGGCAGCAGUAGGGAAUCUUCCGCAAUGGACGAAAGUCUGACGGAGCAACGCCGCGUGAGUGAUGAAGGUUUUCGGAUCGUAAAGCUCUGUUGUUAGGGAAGAACAAGUGCCGUUCAAAUAGGGCGGCACCUUGACGGUACCUAACCAGAAAGCCACGGCUAACUACGUGCCAGCAGCCGCGGUAAUACGUAGGUGGCAAGCGUUGUCCGGAAUUAUUGGGCGUAAAGGGCUCGCAGGCGGUUUCUUAAGUCUGAUGUGAAAGCCCCCGGCUCAACCGGGGAGGGUCAUUGGAAACUGGGGAACUUGAGUGCAGAAGAGGAGAGUGGAAUUCCACGUGUAGCGGUGAAAUGCGUAGAGAUGUGGAGGAACACCAGUGGCGAAGGCGACUCUCUGGUCUGUAACUGACGCUGAGGAGCGAAAGCGUGGGGAGCGAACAGGAUUAGAUACCCUGGUAGUCCACGCCGUAAACGAUGAGUGCUAAGUGUUAGGGGGUUUCCGCCCCUUAGUGCUGCAGCUAACGCAUUAAGCACUCCGCCUGGGGAGUACGGUCGCAAGACUGAAACUCAAAGGAAUUGACGGGGGCCCGCACAAGCGGUGGAGCAUGUGGUUUAAUUCGAAGCAACGCGAAGAACCUUACCAGGUCUUGACAUCCUCUGACAAUCCUAGAGAUAGGACGUCCCCUUCGGGGGCAGAGUGACAGGUGGUGCAUGGUUGUCGUCAGCUCGUGUCGUGAGAUGUUGGGUUAAGUCCCGCAACGAGCGCAACCCUUGAUCUUAGUUGCCAGCAUUCAGUUGGGCACUCUAAGGUGACUGCCGGUGACAAACCGGAGGAAGGUGGGGAUGACGUCAAAUCAUCAUGCCCCUUAUGACCUGGGCUACACACGUGCUACAAUGGACAGAACAAAGGGCAGCGAAACCGCGAGGUUAAGCCAAUCCCACAAAUCUGUUCUCAGUUCGGAUCGCAGUCUGCAACUCGACUGCGUGAAG